CAGCAGGAGGAUGAGCGUCAGCCGCAGCAACUGCUGGAGGCUCAACUGGGUCGCCUCAAUCCAGUUCAGGUCGCCGAGCCGUUGGCCCCAGGCCUGGUACAGCCGGAAGGUAAUCAGCAUGCCGCCGACCACGCAAAGGAAGUACAGGGUGAAGUUCGUUUCGUCCAGCAGCUCGAUGACGCCGGUGGCGUUAAUGAUCUUCACAUGGAACAGAAAGAACGCGGAGACGAUGAUGGUGACCCAGAUUCCGUGAAGCGUUGUCAAUCCUUCCUGGCGGUUUUUCA
rnacentral:misc_RNA from 1 species